CCGAUUACUGGCAGAAAGAAUGCCAUUCUGGCGAAGUGACUUGUGCUAGUGGAGGUGACAAGCGUAGUAUUUGUGUCUGCUAUCCGAAAAAGUAGGGCACCUUGCAUUUUUAGCAUACCUUAUUAGGAUGAAUGCCUUCUUAGGAUGUGGUGAUGAAAAUAGAUGCAAAGCAAAUAAAAGUUUGUCAAACAUG